rnacentral:tRNA from 2 species
CGACUAGUUCCGGGUUCGAGUCCCGGGCAACCCAU